CAGCCGCCGCGGGAAUACAGAGGGUGCAAGCGUUAAUCGGAUUUACUGGGCGUAAGGGGCGCGUAGGUGGUUAUGUAAGUGAGAUGUGAAAUCCCCGGGCUCAACCUGGGAACUGCAUCUUAUACUGCGUAGCUGGAGUGCAGUAGAGGGUAGUGGAAUUUCCGGUGUAGCGGUGAAAUGCGUAGAUAUCGGAAGGAACACCUGUGGCGAAAGCGGCUCACUGGACAAUUACUGACGCUGAUGCACGAAAGCUAGGGGAGCAAACAGGAUUAGAUACCCCAGUAGUCCCUGUCUCUUAUAC
rnacentral:rRNA from 1 species